GGCCAGACUCCUACGGGAGGCAGCAGUGGGGAAUAUUGCACAAUGGGGGAAGCCCUGAUGCAGCGACGCCGCGUGAGUGAAGAAGUAUUUCGGUAUGUAAAGCUCUCUCAGCAGGAAAGAAAAUGACGGUACCUGACUAAGAAGCCCCGGCUAACUACGUGCCAGCAGCCGCGGUAAUACGUAGGGGGCAAGCGUUAUCCGGAUUUACUGGGUGUAAAGGGAGCGUAGACGGUGAAGCAAGUCUGAAGUGAAAGGCGGGGGCUCAACCCCCGGACUGCUUUGGAAACUGUUUGACUGGAGUGCAGGAGAGGUAAGUGGAAUUCCUAGUGUAGCGGUGAAAUGCGUAGAUAUUAGGAGGAACACCAGUGGCGAAGGCGGCUUACUGGACUGUAACUGACGUUGAGGCUCGAAAGCGUGGGGAGCAAACAGGAUUAGAUACCCGGGUA
rnacentral:rRNA from 1 species